rnacentral:rRNA from 1 species
UACGUAGGCAGCAAGCGUUGUUCGGAGUUAUUGGGCGUAAAGGGCGCGUAGGCGGUCAGCACAAGUCAGUUGUGAAAUCUCCGGGCUUAACUCGGAAAGGUCAACUGAUACUGUGCGACUAGAGUGCGGAAGGGGCAACUGGAAUUCUCGGUGUAGCGGUGAAAUGCGUAGAUAUCGAGAGGAACACCUGCGGCGAAGGCGGGUUGCUGGGCCGACACUGACGCUGAUGCGCGAAAGCCAGGGGAGCGAACGGG